UACGGAGGGAGCUAGCGUUGUUCGGAAUUACUGGGCGUAAAGCGCACGUAGGCGGCUUUGUAAGUUAGAGGUGAAAGCCCGGAGCUCAACUCCGGAACUGCCUUUAAGACUGCAUCGCUUGAAUCCAGGAGAGGUGAGUGGAAUUCCGAGUGUAGAGGUGAAAUUCGUAGAUAUUCGGAAGAACACCCGUGGCGAAGGCGGCUCUCUGGGACGGUACUGACGCUGAGGCGCGAAAGCGUGGGGAGCAAACAGG
rnacentral:rRNA from 1 species